CCCAUCGCUUUGGCUUAUAUAGUGUGACUUCCUUCUCUGCCUAUUGAUUCAGGGUCAUGAAGAUCUCGAAAUGGUCAAGGGGCUGUUUCAACUUCCAAUUCCUAAGAUGAAUUACUGCAUUCUCUGGUGGAGCUGUUCCUCUCCUAGACACAGGGAGCUCCAAACUGCCAAGUUCAAGAUCGGGCACAGGUGGCAGCAAACACUCUUCCAGCGAGAGGCCACUCCUCUUCAUUUUUUGGUUCCCAACCUGCUCAUUCUGUCUACAGGAAGACCACACACUUGGCCAUUAGUAUAAAGCGUAUAUUGCAUCCUGGCCAGGAGCAAGUCAUUAACUGCUUCUUAAAUGGAUAGAAGUUGUUCACAGAAAAGAAUAUGAGUUCACUCUGCCACCACCACCUGCUGCCAUGAGCCCAAAGAAGAGGGAGGAGAGAGUUUUCUGGAGCCCAGAAGACAGCUAGCCGCCUCGAAAGGUGAAAGGGCACAGCCAGACUGCAGCAUCCUACAGGGAGGAAUCUAGAGGGUAAGAGACCCUGCUGACGUUGUGCAUACAGGCCAGCCCCCUGCAGCCCAAAGAGGUGGAUGGGAGUAAAGACUUGACCUGGGUGGGCAGAUGAAAGACACCGAUGCAGCCACUUUUCCCCAAAGGGAGUCAGGAGCAGACAGCUUUAGUCCUUCCAGGCCUUGAAGAAGGAGAGGUUUGCCCAGGAGCAGAUCACAGGGGGCACCUCGGGAGAAAGGAGCAACACAAGCAGAUGUGCAGAGACCAGAGUGCGGCAGGUACAUCCAGAUGUUGGCUGCGUGCCUAGAAAGGAGGUCAGGGUCAACACACACCGCUCAUGUGCUGGCCUGGGCCCAAAUCUCCACUCAUCUGGAAGACGCUAUUUCUGGAGUCUGUCCAUCUUUCUGGCUUGGGACCUCCCACACUGGGCAUCCAGAGACCUCAGGAAACACUGCUCACUGUGGCCCACACAGUGAGGGCCCCACACAUUCUACCCCGCUGUCUGCCAGGAUCCACAGCCUUCCGGCCCUGCUGUCACCAGGGCUCAUCUGACCAACUCUGUCUUUAACUAAUUUGUCCUUAGUGCCCAGCCCUGCGAUCAGAAAUGGCCUCCAUGCCUGAUGGGGCCGUGGUCUGAUGUCCGCUUCCAGAGAGAAAGUCCCGUGGCAAUAACAGCCCUGAUAGAAGAAAGUGCAAGGUGCACACAGAGCUUAGAAGAGGGGACCAACUGCGUGGGCAGAGGCAAGGAGGGCUCCAGGAGGAGGUGUCACCGGCCAGGUCUUGGGUGUCCACAGCAGUCCUGCAGGAGGGUAGGAGAGGAAGGCAUUGGAAGCAGUGGGACCAGCAUAGACAAGUGUCUGGAGACGUGGGAGCGUGAGAACAGCAGACUUCCUGUGGCUGGGGGACACAGCAGGGGAUGAGGCUGGAGGGACAGAAUGAAAAAGGGUCUCAAAUACCAGGUUCAGUAAUUUAAAU